GAAGGUCCAGUUUCUUUUAAGUAAUUUUGUUUUGGUGAAAAGAAACCAGCACUUAUUACAUACUGUCUUAGGAGGUGGGGUACCCACAGCUGUGCCCUAAGUCAGUGGCAGCUACCCAGAGACUCUGAAGAUGGAGGCUUGGAGUAAAGCUCUGUCCUGACAGAGGAUGGGCAUUCUGUCUGUCUCCUUCUCAAGACCGUCUUUCCUUUGGGGGUGGAAAGUUAUCAAAUCAAUCCUCCCCAAGCCAGGGUAGGUAAUGAGACAGCAGGCAAAACUGCCUGGGGCACCCAGGCCUGGAACUGUGAGCAGAGAGAUUUUUGUGUUCCCAGAGAAGCAGCAGCAAGGCUGAGACAGAACUCCAGCUCAGGUAGGAGGGAGCCUGCACCUGCAGGUGGUGCCAGCCGUGUCUCGGGCACAGACCCCUUCCUUCUGCUGGGAGGGCCCUCAACAUCUGAGGGUCUUACAGUCAGGUGCCUGCUGUGGAGGACCUGGCCUGUGGGUCCUUCUGAGAGGCUGCCCUCAAGAGCAGGUAUGAGAGUGAGUGAGUGCACAGCCUGAAUCCGGCUCAAUGAAGACAAAGAUGAUGGUGAGAAAAGUGUCCAUGAGCCCUUGGAGAAAACCCUCUCCAGCAAGAGGGACACCUUAGCCACCUGUGGCCUGGCCCGGAUCACCUGAGCAGGCCACUGCCAGAGGCCGCGCGGGAGAGGACACGGCUGGCCUGGGCCCCACAGCCCUGCUGGGCGGCAGAGCUCCGGGUCACGGGCCUCACCAAGGUGGACAGAGACCGUCUUCCAGCAGACAGACCUGGUCCAGAUGACCCGAGCAACUGGGUGCUAGUGCAAGCGUUACAGGAGGGAAUGGGGGUGCGGAGCCCUGUGCGCCAGAAACCUUACAGAACCAGCUCCCGGGGGCCUGCGGAUUCACCCCAAAGCCAAUGAGGCCCUCCUGACCCAAGGGGAAAUGGAGAAACUGAGGCAGGACGGAGCUGACUCCAACCACCCCCUACUUCUCUCUCUGUCUCUCUCACACAUACACCACACACAGCACUCCCUCACACACACAAACCACACAC
rnacentral:lncRNA from 1 species